CCCUUAGAUGUUCUGGGCCGCACGCGCGCUACACUGACGGAGCCAACGAGUAUUUUCCUUGUCCGGAAGGACUGGGUAAUCUUGUGAAACUUUGUCGUGCUGGGGAUAGAGCAUUGUAAUUAUUGCUCUUCAACGAGGAAUUCCUAGUAAGCGUGAGUCAUCAGCUCGCGUUGAUUACGUCCCUGCCCUUUGUACACACCGCCCGUCGCUACUACCGAUUGAGUGAUCCGGUGAAUAAUUCGGACUGCAGCAGUGCUUGGUCCUCCGGGCUUUGCAGUGGAAAGUUUAGUGAACCUUAUCACUUAGAGGAAGGAGAAGUCGUAACA
rnacentral:rRNA from 1 species